rfam:Marchantia polymorpha subsp. polymorpha scaffold868, whole genome shotgun sequence.
AUACUUACCUGGGCGGAGCCAAUCGCUGAUCCUGAAGGGCGAUGACUUAGAUUCAGUUCUUCCAUUGCACUAAGGUUGGGCGGGUUCUAGCAUUUCCCCAAGGGGAAAAUGCACGUCAUAAUUUGUGUCAGAGGAGGGCUCGCGUUCGCGCGGCCCUCCA